UACGUAGGGUGCAAGCGUUGUCCGGAAUUAUUGGGCGUAAAGAGCUCGUAGGCGGUCUGUUGCGUCGGCUGUGAAAACCCGGGGCUCAACUCCGGGCCUGCAGCCGAUACGGGCAGACUAGAGUUCGGCAGGGGUGACUGGAAUUCCUGGUGUAGCGGUGAAAUGCGCAGAUAUCAGGAGGAACACCGGUGGCGAAGGCGGGUCUCUGGGCCGAUACUGACGCUGAGGAGCGAAAGCGUGGGGAGCGAACAGG
rnacentral:rRNA from 1 species